AUUUUCAGUUCUGUAGUGCGAGAGUGUUAGCGCUAGAACUUUUGUUAGAAUUAUCCAGAUAUGUUACCUCUGACAUUAUAUUGGAUAGAAUUAUUCCAUAUAUGCUUUAUUUUGUGUCUGAUUCGUUUCCCCGAGUUCGCGGAGAAACAAUAUCGACAGUAACCAGAUGUUUAGCCAAUAUUAGAAAUAUUCCUAGAAGUGAUGGUAAUGUUUUUCCAGAAUACAUUUUUCCUAAUCUG